AACCUGCAGGUGACAUGAUUCCCGGAUUUAGAACGUUGAAACUAACACGGUAGCAGCACGUCAGAAAAUAAAGUGUCCCAACUCAAAUUCUGGUCAGGUGAGCCCAAAAUUUCCAGAUCAUUAGUAGCUGAACCAGGUUUUUGUUUUAUUUCUGUGCAUAGUGUUUGUCCACAACAUAUUAAUGGGACAUCUGCUUUCGCCAUCCCCGUUCACAUCUUCAUAUAAUAACAGUAAAAGUUAGAUAUCCAUCUUGGAUGGAUUCAUCUCAGAUUAGCAAGUUUUAUACAGCGAGUAAUCAUAUCAAUAGGUAAAACAACUUUUUUCUGUAAGACUAGAAUAUUGCAGUCAUUUAUGCCUAAGGAGGGAAUCAAGAAAGUUCAAGUCUUUAGCAUACUUGUUUAAAAUUAGAUCCAAGACCCCAUCAAAUCAAACAUCACUUAUUGAUGUUCAUGCCAACGGAUGAAUAACAACAGCGGACAUAUUUAGCUCAAUUCCAAGGUGUAUACGAAUUCGAUAUGUGUAAAUUGAAAAAAUGCUAACCUUCUUGUUGUGCAGGAGCUGAUGGAAAAAAUAGGAUUAGCAGGCAAAGAAUCAAAGAGUCAACACUCCUCAACCUCCAGCUAUGGCUUCCUCCAAUCCCCAUCAUCUUCUCUAUCGGUUCAUCUAAAUGGAUGAACCGGACUCGGUUCGUGCUCGGACUCUGCCAAACUCCCCGUGCUUCAACGGACUGAAUUGGUCAAAACUGUCACCAAAAGCUGUGUGAUACUACCAAAGCUGACUCAGAAUGCUACAUGGAAAAAAACAGCAGAAAUAAAAGGUUGAGUUGCUAACUUAAAGCUUUUUCAAAUGAAGUUUUUGCUCUUCGUCAGAUUUUUUGUUGUUGAAGUUGUUUGGUGUUUUCUGAUGAUUGCAGAUGGAUGAUAAAAUUUAACAGGUUUGACUUCAAAACUUGGAAGGAAGAGAGAAGAAGAAAGGGAGAUGAUUAAGAAAGGUUGGGGGGUGAUGACUGAAUCAGAAUUAGUCCAAAAAAGGUUUGAUUAAUGGGGUUUAUUAAUUAUCUUAAUCCCUUAAUGAUUGAUUAGUGUUGUUGUGGAGUGGCCAAGUAGAGAAUAUUGGAAACUUGUUAGUAUUGUAGGGGAAAACCAUUGGCUCGUUUUUCGUCUCUCUUCUUGUCUUUUUACACGAGAUGGAACAUCAUUCGAAUGAUUGGGCUUAUCUUGUAGGUUCGAACAAGGUUCAAGAAGAUGCUAGGCAGGCCAUGGGGGCUGUUGGUUGCGGAGAUCACUCGCCGUCCAUCGUCUAAAUAGGUCCGGUGAGCCCAUUCAUCAUCCUCGAAAGCAACCUAGCUCCUCUUUCUCUUCUUUUUUUUUUCUUCGGACUCGAACUCUUCAUUAUUGAGCCCGCUCACUUGUGCAUUUCUACGGAGUUCAAGUUGUUCGAGGCGUAAGGUAGAUGUAGGGGUAGGGGCCUUACCUAGCGCCUAGGCGUUGGUACAAAAAUUCUAGCAAAUAUGCAUAAGCAUUUGAUGUCAAACCAUUGACUCGUUUUUCCGUCUCUCUUCUUGUCUUUUUACCUGAGAUGGAACAUCACUCGAAUGAUUGGGCUUAUCUCGUAGAUUCGAACAAGGUUCGAGAAGGCGCUAGGUAGGUCAUGGGGGCUCUUGGUUUGUGGAGAUCGCUCGUCGUCCAUCAUCUACAUAGUCCCGGUGAGCCAUUCCUCAUCCUCGAAAGCAACUUGAUUUCCACAUAAUAAUUGAUGGAAGUUAUUAUGUAAGCCAAGAGUUUUUACUCAUUCGUUCACUACUUUCCUACUUGUAAAACCUGUAAAUUGGGUGAACUGCCAUCCACUUAAGCUUAUAUAAUUCAGUCAGUUAUGGCCCAAUGAACAUGUAACCGGUUAACCUGUAACCUGUAAUCCGACUAACUCAGUUCGAUUUUGUGUGAAGGAAAGAAGAGGGGUUUGGUCCAAGUGGAGUUGCUCCAGUGGUAGAGCAUGUGUCUGAUUAUCCAAAGGUUUCGGGUUCGAAUUCAGUAUACUCCGAAAAAUGGACACUUAUUUAUUUUUAUAGUCUUCUAUCUUGUAUUAAUCGAAAGUCUCGAUCUACUUUGACAAAAAAAAAGGAUUUGUUCUCCAACAAGUCAAAGUGAGUACAAUCAACUUCCCCUUCUAAUUGCAACACACUCUAUUAAAUAGUGAAAGCUUUUCUCUCUUUCGAUUGAUAUCAUGAGCUCUACAAAGAAGCAAGAACAGUAAGUAUUCUCUAACUCGAAUUUUUUAUUAUUUUAAAUUUCUGUGACGAACAAAUCACUUAUUGUUACGUGUCUAUUUCGGAGGAUAAAUCUAAAAUAAGAAAC
rnacentral:lncRNA from 1 species